rnacentral:misc_RNA from 1 species
CCCAAGCCUUCUGGCGGUCUAUGCAARKWAGCUCUCAUCAAAAGCUUUAAGGAAAGCUCUUUGUUUUUUGAAAGGGUGCUUUUAUGAGAUAGAGCUUUUUUAGAUAAUGCUGGGGAAGGUUUUCCGGUUUAUCUCGGAGGGCUUGUAGCUCAGUUGGUUAGAGCGCGCGCUUGAUAAGCGUGAGGUCGGAGGUUCAAGUCCUCCCAGGCCCACCAAUUUACCUAUCCAUUUGCCUUUAUCUGUUUAUUUGCCGAUUUAUCGGUCCAUUGAAUUUAAGUGUUGGUAGCAGUUUUAUAAUGAUGAGAAAUCAUGCUUAUAAAAGAACUCCUUAUAAAAGGCUUGUUUUUAAAAUGUGACGCUUAUCCAUUUCGCUUAGGCAAGAGAAACUUCAAGCGGUUCAAAUACAAAAGGCUUUAAGUUUUGCAAAACACUUUGAAUUUUGCAAAACACUUUGAAUUUUAAAGUGAUCCAAGUUCGUGAUCUCGAAUUUAAAAGUUUCGAAUGCUUUAUCCUUUUUUGGGGGCCGUAGCUCAGCUGGGAGAGCACCUGCUUUGCAAGCAGG